rnacentral:rRNA from 1 species
UGGUUCAAUUCGACGCAACGCGAAGAACCUUACCUGGGCUAGACAACGGUGGACCGCCCUAGAGAUAGGGUUUUCCCUUCGGGGACUGCCGGUUCAGGUGCUGCAUGGCUGUCGUCAGCUCGUGCCGUGAGGUGUUGGGUUAAGUCCCGCAACGAGCGCAACCCUCGCUCUUAGUUGCCACCAUUAAGUUGGGCACUCUAAGGGGACUGCCGGCGUUAAGCCGGAGGAAGGCGGGGACGACGUCAAGUCAUCAUGGCCCUUAUGUCCAGGGCCACACACGUGCUACAAUGGGCGGUACAAAGGGCUGCAAACCCGCGAGGGGGAGCCAAUCCCAAAAAACCGCUCUCAGUUCGGAUUGGAGUCUGCAACUCGACUCCAUGAAGGCGGAAUCGCUAGUAAUCGCGGAUCAGCACGCCGCGGUGAAUACGUUCCCGGGCCUUGUACACACCGCCCGUCACACCAUGGGAGCCAGCUGUACCGGAAGUCGGUGCGCUAACCCGCAAGGGAAGCAGCCGCCUAUGGUAUGACAUGGUGAACUGGGGUG